AGACAUUUGCAGCAGUGUGUAUGUGGAAAGAUGAUUAUACCCCAUGCUUCAAUUGAAUGGACUACCAGCAUAUUUUCUGAAUAUAUGGAGUGGUAGCAUGCAACACGAAGAAGAAGCUGUGCAUUUGUGGAAUUUUGUGAUUCCGAGUCAGCUGCCAAAGCUGUCACAGCAUAUGCAGCCUCCAGCGAGUAUCAUGUAUUGACUGAAGAUCCAGGGCAGUCAUGUGGUAUUCAGGUGUUUAAUGCAGAGAGCCAAGACGAAAUGGGGGACAAGAAGAAAACGAGCACAAAACUAGACACGGAAGAACCCUGGAAGAACCCCUAGACACUGUAGUUCCAUGGUGCGGCAUGCUUAAGAAAAUGCUAAAUGCUACAAUGAGAAAUACAAAUUCGUUAAGACACUUAA